rnacentral:lncRNA from 1 species
UCCACUUUAUUAUCUUUGUCACAGAUUUGAGAGACACCAAGCAGGUUGUAUUUUAGGCCAUUGACAUAAUAUAUAUUCCCAAUUCAAUGACUGAGUGUCUUUCCAAUUUCUCUAACUUCCAGAAUGUAUUCCUUUUUGCCAUUAGCAAAGGGCACACUCCCACAUUGCAGGGAUUUGAGUGAAAGAAAAUUGUCGGUACUUCCAAU